UACGUAGGAGGCGAGCGUUGUCCGGAAUUACUGGGCGUAAAGAGCGCGUAGGCGGCACGGUACGACCGGUGUGAAAGCCCCCCGGCUCAACUGGGGGAGGGUCACCGGUAACGGCCGAGCUAUGAGUGCAGGAGAGGGAAGUGGAACUCCGGGAGUAGCGGUGAAAUGCGUAGAGACCCGGAGGAACACCAGUGGCGAAGGCGGCUUCCUGGUCUGCAACUGACGCUGUGGCGCGACAGCGUGGGGAGCAAACAGG
rnacentral:rRNA from 1 species